CACGAUGGACACUAAUGUUUUUGUCACUUUUUAUGGAAUCAAACUCAAAGUAAGGUAAAUGCUGAAUUCCAGUGUAUUACAACACUUCAACUGGAGAUGACCUUCGCGGCACAGUUAGACAGAAUUACACCUCAGUUGAUGACAGUUUUCCAGAAGAAGGGCGGUGUUUCUGGGCAGAAACUUGCCCACCACUUGCAGAUCAUGCAAGAGGCUGAAAGUGAUGUUAAAGUGAAAAGGGAAGCAGUUCUCAGGGCACUUUGCCUCUACCUUGGUGAAGAGGACGGAAGCCUUAUUCGGGAGUUCUUUGACAUUGAAGGAGAUGAUAUCUAGAGAGACCUGAAGAAGCACACCAUGGGCAUUUAUGUCAUCAACAGGGAGGAUGGACAAAAUGGACAUUAUGAUGACAUUGGAAUAUUUGUUGAAGGGGAGAUAGUCAUGGACAACAUUGGAUCUCUGGCCCAAGCUUGUGCAUUGAUGCUUGGAGUAAUCUAUGCACUAAACCUAGCCUUCCCCAAGGAAUUGAAGGACUAUUAUGAAUUCAUUUAGCAAGUGUUGAUGGGAUUCGAUGGUGAAAAGCUCUCCCCCAAAGUCUUUGGGCUGAAGAGCAAAAUUGCUACUGGAUAGGAAGAUUUCUAAAAUAACACAUCAAGAGAAUGCUGUUAUGUAAAUUACCAAUGACUGGUGCUCUUGUGAAUAGGAGUGAAACUCUUGUACAACCAUCAUUUGUUCUGUGUUAUGUUUCGAUUGAACAUUUUAACUUUCAAUAAUGAAUGUUUCACGUGUGGUACAUUUGAGUAGCUUGAAGAGCAACUUUGUAAUUAUUCAGUUAUAGCUGCUGCCCUGCGUAUAAUCAGUGUUAACUCAACCGGAUAAAAAAAACAAAAAAAACCAUUCAUGAUUACCACACUGCAGCACACUGGUAACACUUUAAAGACUAUUAAUUGUUUUGAAGCGAGUAUGUUAGGUCAGAAAAUAUGUAAAACAUUCAGAAUCUUCAAGGAAGGACUAGAAUGGAAAGACAGUGGUCAAUAAGCAGUAAGGAAAACACAAGUUUAAUUUUAAGUCUAAUUACCUUAUUAAAAUGCAAUUUCUAAAUAUGGAUCGCAGAACAGCAAGUCUGAAACUGGUUAGUUUGUGGAUGCAUCAGUUUCUAAUUGUGAUACAUUAUACUGCUGGUAGUGUUUUAUUCUUUUAUGUAAGGAGUUUGUUUGUUUUUUUCUUUUUUAGAGGAAGAGAAACAUUGGUUAACAUUUCUCUUGUCUGUUGUUUCUGUUUUGUUUGAAUACAGCUUUUUAAAGCUACUAGUUCAUAGGCAAAAGUUUUGUAAUUUGUAUUAUACAAAUUGCAGCAAUUUCCCUUAGAGAUGUGGAUUCUUAUUCUGUUUGCAUUAAUAAAUGAUGUGAAAGAAUGUUGUAGUUUUCAUUAUUGACGUUUUUAAAAACUACAAAUCAGGGUAAGCAAUAUUUUUUAAGUAAACUUAACUUAAUUGAAAUAGAGAGAAAUUAACAAUUUGAUUGAUUUGAAUAUAAGUUUGGGACAUAAGUGUAAAGGAAACAAAUUAUUCUGGUACAUUUAACACGACCUUAGUUGGACUUACUAAUAAUAUUUGACUAAGACGUAUCCACAACAGUUAAGUUAAAGUAGCUUAAAAAUAUAUGUUGGUUUUACUCGCUUAAAUUAAAUUCAGUGUACUUAAAAAAUAUUUCUGGAUUCAAACAAAUUUAUUUCAUGCAACCACUUGUCAUAAAAA
ensembl:lncRNA